GGGCAGAGGCACUAACUCUUGUUAGCAGAGAAGCCCUCCUUCCUUCCCUAUAGCUCAGGCACAUCAGGGAAGGGGAGGGCUCGGGUUAGCGAACGGGCUGGGGAUCCCUCUGAGCCAUUUCUUCGAUUAUCUCGCACUUAAUACCCUAAGCAGCCUUGUGCUGUCCUCUUUAUUGGGCCUAAGUAGUGGAAUAAGCGUGAAAGGAAGAUCAUAUCCUUCUUCCUCAGCCGACUUCCUUCUGAUUAAAGGAGAUCAAAGGCUGAGGAGCAUCUAGCUGCUCUUGUGUGCAGCACAAGGGGAAGCCCACCUGUGUGUGUGGAGGUUUUCUUUCCUGCCCACUGAGAAGGGGCUGAGAAAAUGGCAGAAAAGCUAGGGGAAGGGGGCAGGUGUGAAGGCUGCUCGUGUGUCUGGGGUAGGACCAAGCACACUUUGUGUCAUGUUGCAUACACUGCAAGAAGUGCAGGGAAAAGACAGAACAAGUGAGAAAACAAUUAAGCGCUCACAGAUGUGCAGUGUUGAGCAUGUGCUGGUGGUGGGAGAGGAACUGAGAUGAUACUCCUUUGAUACCUACUGCAGAGAAAGCCAUACAUCUCUGGAAGCAUUGUGCACAUGGAAAUCACACCAGGAGGAGAGGAGAGGAGAGGAGAGGAGAGGAGAAAAGGAAAAGAGAAAAGAAAAAGAAAAAGAAAAAGAAAAAGAAAAAAAAGGAAAGAAGCAGGAGUCAGCAGAUAUGACAAAGCAGCAUGGAGAAAUGAAAGGAUCUUCUUGCUUGGGGGAGGAGGAAUGGUGUCUGCAACUCUGUGUACACUGAAUUCACUGUCUCCUCUGUCUCAGGAUAAUCAUCAGGCAGCUGGGUUUUGUGUAGAAAGCUCAGACUCACAGUUACAUUACCUAUUAGUUGGCAGUCCAGAGGAAAACAAUUAAAGGGUGUGAAGUCCUUGUAGUUUAGAGAAGACUGGAUACAUCACUUCUACACCUGAAGUUAUUUUACUUAUUACUGUAUCCUUAUACACUGUACACACUGACAUCUUUCAGGACGCAAAGAACAUAGGAGAUAAUCGUUUGCAUUCAAAAUUGUGAGAACAAUGAGACAAUUCUUCCUUCAUUUCAUCAGUGUGAUCAGUGAGAUUAUAUUGAUCCUUUGGCUGAAAUUCUAGUUGGCAAUUUGCUGAUGAUCUCUCUGGAAUACUGCUACUUUCUUUUAUUUAACCUUGGCUUCCUUCAUGUAACAAUAGCAAAAAAUUAAAAAAAAUAAAAAAAAUCUGAAAUUGUCA
rnacentral:lncRNA from 1 species